rnacentral:misc_RNA from 1 species
AAAGUCGUAACAAGGUUUCCGUAGGUGAACCUGCGGAAGGAUCAUUAACACGUAUCCACGUAUCAACCCCUCUGUGAAACUCUACUUUAGAAAGGUUUGGUCUUAGUGUGUUGCUCGUAUGGGUCCUAAUGAUGGAGGCAGCAAUGCCUAGGGCUCGAGUAGCAUGUGUUUGACGUCCAACCGCCACUUUCCCAUCGUUGGCCCCUUUUUACUUAAACCCCUUGUACUCUUUUGUACUGAACCAAUUCUUCUGACGCUCUUUCACAGAGUGACGGAUAGAUAUUACGAAACUUAAGAACAACUCUUAGCAACGGAUAUCUUGGUUCCC